rnacentral:misc_RNA from 1 species
GAGCAACAAAAGAUCCAGAAAAGAAGAUGAAGGAUGAACAGGAUGAGGAAGAAAGAAAGAAGAGGGAAGAGGAGGAGAAGAAAAGGAAAGAGGAAGAAGAUAAGAACAAAAAAGAUGAUGAUGAUGAAGACGAUGAUGAAGAGGGUGGUGAUGAUGAUGAUGAGAAGAAGGAUGAUGAAGAUAAAGUGAAGGAUGAGUUAUAAUGCACCAGCUGUGUUAGGAUAUAUGAGUACAAUCUGCAGCAUAUAGACAGACCAAUUGGGCAACAUCAUAAAUACCACUUCAUUGCUCACUACACAAUUCCAUUACUCAUGAUCGUCCAGUUAUGAAUGUGAUUGAGUAACUGACUUAGUAUGCCUGUAUCUGAAUGGGGAAGCGUGAUUGUGGAUGCAUGUGUGAAUUGAGUGUUUUAAUGUUAGAUGGAAUAUUGUUUUCUACUCUGGGGACUUUAUUUAUUAUUUUCUAUUCAUGUGUUUUUUUUCAGCAGAUAGCUUUACUUAAUUAUGUGAAAAAAUCAAAGCUUGGUUGCCCAUCUUUUCAUUUCCAUUGUUACUGAAAUUGAAAUGUGUUGUUAAGUAUGAAUUAUUCAUGAGAAUUGAAUAAAUGUGGGGUUUUUAUAUUU